rnacentral:tRNA from 1 species
GCUAGAGUAGCAAAGCGGUUAAUGCAGAAGGCCUAAGACCUUCCUACCAAGGGUUCAACUCCCUUCUCUCGCU